rnacentral:tmRNA from 1 species
GGGGGCGACCUGGCUUCGACGGGGGCUGUGAAGUAGCUUGGAGCAUGCCGAGGGCGUCAUCUUCCUCGUUAAUCCGAUGGCAAACAAUCAGACGCCAACGACGACGUCUACGCUCUCGCCGCUUAAGGCGUAAGCCCCGAACCCACUUGUGCCUGUGCUCGUGGAUGUAGGGUCAUCAUCACGGGAUCGCCGUCGGUUGCCGCUGGUCGACCGAUGGCCAAAAUAAAACUGGCUGGUUCCGCGGUGCGCUUUGUCCAGCGUGCUGCUUCGGGACGAGAUCGAACGCUGGACUAAGCAUGUAGCGCCGGGCGCGGAGCGCCUUCGGACGGGGGUUCGAUUCCCCCCGCCUCCACCA